ACCCUCAAUCUCCAGUUCCGAUUUGUCUCUCAAUUCACCCUAAUCGUAAUUCGUAAACUGAUCACAACAUGACACAUACACCAUCGAACAUCUGUUUUUGAAUUACUUAGCGAUUAUUAGACAUCGUUCUAUCAAAUCGAAAACAUAUCCUACCGUCGAUCCUCAUUUCCGCCGUUAACGCCUUCCAUCUUCAGUCUUUGCUAAUCAAAAACCAGUGACACUGCCUUCAUCUCUUU